rnacentral:rRNA from 1 species
GAUCAUGGCUCAGAACGAACGCUGGCGGCAUGCCUAACACAUGCAAGUCGAACGAGACCUUCGGGUCUAGUGGCGCACGGGUGCGUAACGCGUGGGAAUCUGCCCUUUGCUUCGGAAUAACAGUUAGAAAUGACUGCUAAUACCGGAUGAUGUCUUCGGACCAAAGAUUUAUCGCCCUGAGAUAAGCCCGCGUAGGAUUAGCUAGUUGGUGGGGUAAAGGCUCACCAAGGCGACGAUCCUUAGCUGGUCUGAGAGGAUGAUCAGCCACACUGGGACUGAGACACGGCCCAGACUCCUACGGGAGGCAGCAGUGGGGGAAUAUUGGACAAUGGGCGAAAGCCUGAUCCAGCAAUGCCGCGUGAGUGAUGAAGGCCUUCGGGUUGUAAAGCUCUUUUACUCGGGACGAUAAUGACGGUACCGAGAAAAUAAGCCCCGGCUAACUCCGUG